rnacentral:rRNA from 1 species
AUGCAAGUCGAACGGUAACGGGCCUUCGGGUGCCGACGAGUGGCGAACGGGUGAGUAAUGCAUCGGAACGUACCUUUCAGUGGGGGAUAACGUAGCGAAAGUUACGCUAAUACCGCAUAUUCUGUGAGCAGGAAAGCAGGGGAUCGCAAGACCUUGCGCUGAUUGAGCGGCCGAUGUCAGAUUAGCUAGUUGGUGAGGUAAAGGCUCACCAAGGCGACGAUCUGUAGCGGGUCUGAGAGGAUGAUCCGCCACACUGGAACUGAGACACGGUCCAGACUCCUACGGGAGGCAGCAGUGGGGAAUUUUGGACAAUGGGGGCAACCCUGAUCCAGCCAUGCCGCGUGAGUGAAGAAGGCCUUCGGGUUGUAAAGCUCUUUCGGCCGGGAAGAAAUCGCAUGGGCUAAUACCCUGUGCGGAUGACGGUACCGGCAUAAGAAGCACCGGCUCACUACGUGCCAGCAGCCGCGGUAAUACGUAGGGUGCGAGCGUUAAUCGGAAUUACUGGGCGUAAAGCGUGCGCAGGCGGUUUUGUAAGACAGGCGUGAAAUCCCCGGGCUCAACCUGGGAACUGCGCUUGUGACUGCAAGGCUAGAGUACGGCAGAGGGGGGUGGAAUUCCACGUGUAGCAGUGAAAUGCGUAGAGAUGUGGAGGAACACCAAUGGCGAAGCAGCCCCCUGGGUCGAUACUGACGCUCAUGCACGAAAGCGUGGGUAGCAAACAGGAUUAGAUACCCUGGUAGUCCACGCCCUAAACGAUGUCAACUAGGUGUUGGUGGGUAAAACCAUUUAGUACCGUAGCUAACGCGUGAAGUGACCGCCUGGGAGUACGGCCGCAGGUAAAACUCAAAGGAUUGACGGGACCGCACAGCGUGAUGAUGUGAUAUCGAUGCACGCGAAAACUACUACCUGACAUGUA